UUGGUUAGGAGAUAAAUUCGGCCUCCUGCCAUUGUAACAUUCUUUCUGCUUGCAAUUGUCAUUGGUGCAGUAGCGUUUGUGUGCAGUCAUUGAAAUAUUUGUUUUGAAUUCCUUUUUCGAUGUGUUAAUACCUUAUGACUAGUUUAGUUGCUAUUUAUAUAUUUAUUUUUAUAUAUAAAAUAUAUAUUUGACAUUUUUAACUUUAGACGAAAAGUUCACGGUCUGCAUGCUCUGACCGUUUUAGAAAAUAUACAUAACUACAGCUACAGGUCAAAACGAUGCGUUUUCAUAACCUUACCGGUUUAAAGGACACAUUGGAGUGUAUUCUGGACCCGCCUCGAGUCCCUAUGCUUGAGUCCAAUGGAACCUCAACUUAUAAAAAGGUUAGCAGGGAGGUGUUCAAUAAGCGAACGCUAUGGCUCACGACCCACAAACCCUGAGCUUUUGCCUGAGAGGAAAAAAGUGAGACAUAAGUCUUUCAUUUUACAAUCAAACGAAGAAUAAGAUGCAACAAAAGGGGGACCCACCUCGAGUCCCUAUGCUUGAGUCCAAUGGUGAGUCCAAAUCUCAUAUUUCUCAUGCUAAUGUCUUGCACAAAGUUGAUGAAAUACCUGGUGUUUAUGAAAUUCAGUGAUUUCUUGACCUGCUCUGAAAAAGACCUCUUUGGUUAAAACUAAUCUUAACUUUAGUCUGAAUGCAGGAACCUCAACUUAUUAAAAGGUUAGCAGGGAGGUGUUCAAUAAGGUAGGUUUUUCGUUUAUUCUGACAUUAAGCGCAUCCUUAAAGAACCGUCUGUGAUCUCUUUAUUCUAAUUCUGUGUAUUGUUUUCUUUGUUUAGGUAUUUACUUCAUGUGAUCUGUCUCUUUACUGUGGAGUCAAUUGAGGUUUACAUAGGCCUGCUAGAGACAAACAUUUCUAUGCUACCUAACAGAAGAAUAUACAAUUCUGACUUGUAGAUUUGUCCAUUUUGAGUUGCAUGCUGUCUUGUUGGUUUGAAAGGUGACUGCAGUGUAUACCGUCAGUGAUGUAAAGACUUGAAACUGCAACAAUAAAUUCUCAUUUAUAUCUGG